CCCCACCACCAGGGACAGGGAUGCCUUCCACCUUCUCCCUACGUGGCACUGGAAGAUAAUUUUUCUUGCAUGUUGUGCCUUGAUGUGUGAUUGUACAUUUAUUGAGGCCCCCAUGUGUAACCAUUAGCAGAAGGCCCUGAUUCAAAGCAUACUUCUGUCAUCAUGCAGUAGAGAGAGGCACCUGUCUCAGAUGAGAUAAACCAUGUUUUCUGCUUCAUUAAGACAUUUUCCUAAAUUGUUUCCAGCAUAUUCAUUGUUCCUUGUGGAAAUCUACUCUAACACUUUAUUUGUUCAACUGUUUGGACUUGACUUCAUGUUGCCAUUUGAUAUGAGAAGGGACAUAGGUGGGUUCUUUUUCCUAUAUGUGUGGGUUCAAUAGUUUUUCUUUCAUGUGGAUCACUCUGAGAGUCA